CCUAACGGGAGGCAGCAGUGGGGAAUAUUGGGCAAUGGGCGCAAGCCUGACCCAGCAACGCCGCGUGAAGGAAGAAGGCUUUCGGGUUGUAAACUUCUUUUCUCAGGGACGAAGCAAGUGACGGUACCUGAUGAAUAAGCCACGGCUAACUACGUGCCAGCAGCCGCGGUAAUACGUAGGUGGCAAGCGUUAUCCGGUUUUUCUGGGUGUAAAGGGCGUGUAGGCGGGAAAGCAAGUCAGAUGUGAAAACCAUGGGCUCAACCUGUGGCCUGCAUUGGAAACUGUUUUUCUUGAGUACUGGAGAGGCAGACGGAAUUCCUGGUGUAGCGGUGAAAUGCGUAGAUAUUAGGAGGAACACCAGUGGCGAAGGCGGUCUGCUGGACAGAAACUGACGCUGAGGCGCGAAAGCGUGGGGAGCAAACAGGAUUAGAUACCCUGGUAGUC
rnacentral:rRNA from 1 species